rnacentral:tRNA from 1 species
CGGGACGUAGCGCAGCCUGGUAGCGCACUUGCAUGCGGCCACGAGUUCAAAUCCCGCCGUCCCGACUA